AUUGAACGCUGGCGGCAUGCUUUAUACAUGCAAGUCGAACGGUAACAGGCCUUCGGGUGCUGACGAGUGGCGAACGGGUGAGUAAUGCAUCGGAACGUGCCCAGAGGUGGGGGAUAACGCAGCGAAAGCUGUGCUAAUACCGCAUGUGAUCUGAGGAUGAAAGCGGGGGACCAAGCAGCAAUGUUUGGCCUCGCGCCUCUGGAGCGGCCGAUGUCAGAUUAGGUAGUUGGUGGGGUAAAGGCCUACCAAGCCGACGAUCUGUAGCUGGUCUGAGAGGACGACCAGCCACACUGGGACUGAGACACGGCCCAGACUCCUACGGGAGGCAGCAGUGGGGAAUUUUGGACAAUGGGCGCAAGCCUGAUCCAGCAAUGCCGCGUGCGGGAAGAAGGCCUUCGGGUUGUAAACCGCUUUUGUACGGAACGAAAAGGCUCUGGCUAAUACCUGGGGCUGAUGACGGUACCGUAAGAAUAAGCACCGGCUAACUACGUG
rnacentral:rRNA from 1 species